CGCCCUUGGGCCCGCUGUACAUGCAGUCGAGCGGAUCUUCAUUAGCUUGCUUUUGAAGAUCAACGGCGGACGGGUGAGUAACACGUGGGCAACCUGCCUGUAAGACUGGGAUAACUUCGGGAAACCGGAGCUAAUACCGGAUAAUCCUUUUCCUCUCAUGAGGAAAAGCUGAAAGACGGUUUCGGCUGUCACUUACAGAUGGGCCCGCGGCGCAUUAGCUAGUUGGUGAGGUAACGGCUCACCAAGGCGACGAUGCGUAGCCGACCUGAGAGGGUGAUCGGCCACACUGGGACUGAGACACGGCCCAGACUCCUACGGGAGGCAGCAGUAGGGAAUCUUCCGCAAUGGACGAAAGUCUGACGGAGCAACGCCGCGUGAGCGAUGAAGGCCUUCGGGUCGUAAAGCUCUGUUGUCAGGGAAGAACAAGUAUCGGAGUAACUGCCGGUACCUUGACGGUACCUGACCAGAAAGCCACGGCUAACUACGUGCCAGCAGCCGCGGUAAUACGUAGGUGGCAAGCGUUGUCCGGAAUUAUUGGGCGUAAAGCGCGCGCAGGCGGUUCCUUAAGUCUGAUGUGAAAGCCCCCGGCUCAACCGGGGAGGGUCAUUGGAAACUGGGGAACUUGAGUGCAGAAGAGGAGAGCGGAAUUCCACGUGUAGCGGUGAAAUGCGUAGAGAUGUGGAGGAACACCAGUGGCGAAGGCGGCUCUCUGGUCUGUAACUGACGCUGAGGCGCGAAAGCGUGGGGAGCGAACAGGAUUAGAUACCCUGGUAGUCCACGCCGUAAACGAUGAGUGCUAA
rnacentral:rRNA from 2 species